rnacentral:rRNA from 1 species
AGUGAACGCUGGCGGUAGGCCUAACACAUGCAAGUCGAACGGCAGCACAGUAAGAGCUUGCUCUUACGGGUGGCGAGUGGCGGACGGGUGAGGAAUACAUCGGAACCUACUUUUUCGUGGGGGAUAACGUAGGGAAACUUACGCUAAUACCGCAUACGACCUACGGGUGAAAGCAGGGGAUCUUCGGACCUUGCGCGAUUGAAUGAGCCGAUGUCGGAUUAGCUAGUUGGCGGGGUAAAGGCCCACCAAGGCGACGAUCCGUAGCUGGUCGGAGAGGAUGAUCAGCCACACUGGAGCUGAGACGCGGUGCAGACGCCUACGAGAGGCAGCAGUGGGGAAUAUUGGACAAUAGGCGCAAGCCGGAUCCAGCCAUACCGCGUGGGUGGAGAAGGCCUUCGGGUUGUAGAGCCCUUUUUUUGGGAGAGAAAAGCAGCAGCUUAAUACCCCGCUGUGCUGACGGUACCCAGAGAAUAAGCGCCGGCUAACUUCGUG